AGCAGCCGCGGUAAUUCCAGCUCCAAUAGCGUAUAUUAAAGUUGUUGCAGUUAAAAAGCUCGUAGUUGAAUUUCGGGAUCAAUUUGCUGGUCGUGCCUCCGGUACGUACUGGUAUUUAUUGGUUUCUCCCUUCUGACUAACCAUGAUGUCAUUCAUUUGGUGUUGUGGGGAAUCAGGACUGUUACUUUGAAAAAUUAGAGUGUUUAAAGCAGGCAUAAGCUUGAAUACAUUAGCACGGAAUAAUGAAAUAGGACGUUUGAUCCUAUUUUGUUGGUUUCUAGGAUCGACGUAAUGAUUAAUAGGGAUAGUUGGGGGCAUUAGUAUUCAAUUGUCAGAGGUGAAAUUCUUGGAUUUAUUGAAGACUAACUACUGCGAAAGCAUUUGCCAAGGAUGUUUUCAUUAAUCAAGAACGAAAGUUAGGGGGUCGAAGACGAUCAGAUACCGUCGUAGUCUUAACCAUAAACUAUGCCGACUAGGGAUCGGAUGAUGUUAAUUUUUUAAUGACUCAUUCGGCGCCUUA
rnacentral:rRNA from 1 species